rnacentral:piRNA from 1 species
UAGUAACACUAACAGUAGCGAUUUCUAGAU